AAAAUUCUUCUGGAAGUUCUCUUCGACGCGAUCUUUCCAGAUCCGGUGUCCUUUUUACCGAAAACAGCCCUGAUCGACGUAGAUCGGGGCUCAAAGUUUCGGUCUCCUUUUUUUUUUUUUUUUUUUUUUGAAUCUGCUGAUCUCUCUCUUUUUUUUUCAGGUGACUUUCUGGCGCUGGGUUCCCCGUUCCAGGGGACUGUUGUUUUUUUUUUUUUUUAUGUUUUUGCCAGAAUUUUUUUUUACAGAAGCUGCCUUCUUCUUUCUUUUUUUUUUUUUUCUGGUUUGCAAGCUCUAUUUAUAGAGCUUGUUGAGAUUCAAAUCUCAGAUUUUCUGAGAUUUGAAUCUCAUUUUUCAACUGAAAAAUCAUACCUACCGUCCGUGAUUGGUGGCUUGUCGGGAGGCUGAUCGGGUAGUUGGUUGGGCCAGUUCGGCGCCGAACCAACCCCUUGACUUUUGUUUUAUUUCUGUUUCUUUUGUUUGUUUAUUUUUUUGUUUUUUGUUUGUUUUGUUAAAUAUUAUUAUUAUUAAAAAAAA
rnacentral:lncRNA from 1 species